AGACAGAUACCUCCAGGGAAACACAAGCAUGGACAGCUGGGGCACUGGACUACAGAGGACUAAUGAAUCCUACUUAAGCAGUGAUCAACAGUCCUUUUACCACAAAUAGACGAAUCUGAAAAGGAC